rnacentral:rRNA from 1 species
AGUGAACGCUGGCGGUAGGCCUAACACAUGCAAGUCGAACGGCAGCACAGUAAGAUCUUGCUCUUACGGGUGGCGAGUGGCGUACGGGUGAGGUAUACAUCGUAAUCUACUUUUUCGUGUGGGAUAACGUAGGUAAACUUACUCUAAUACCGCAUACGACCUUCGGGUGAAAGCAAGGGAUCUUCUUACCUUGCGGGAUUGAAUGCGCCGAUGUCGGAUUAGCUAGUUGGCGGGGUAAAGGCCCACCAAGGCGCCGAUCCGUAGCUGGUGUGGGUGGAUGGUAGGCGACACGGGAAGGGAGACAGCGACAAGGCGACUAAGGGAGGGACCAGUGGGGAACGGUGGACAAUGGGGGCAAGCCUGAUCCAGCCGUAGCACGUGGGUGAAGAAGGCCUUCGGGUUGUAAAGCCGUUUUGUGGGGAAAGAAAAGCUGCAGCUUAAGACGACGCUGUUCUGACGGUACCCAAAGAAUAAGCACCGGCUAACUUCGUG